rnacentral:rRNA from 1 species
GAAAACUCUGGUGGUUACGGAUGGGCAUGCGUUGUAUUAGCUAGUUGGUAAGGUAACGGCUUACCAAGGCGACGAUACAUAGGGGGACUGAGAGGUUAACCCCCCACAUUGGUACUGAGACACGGACCAAACUCCUACGGGAGGCAGCAGUGAGGAAUAUUGGUCAAUGGACGCAAGUCUGAACCAGCCAUGCCGCGUGCAGGAAGACGGCUCUAUGAGUUGUAAACUGCUUUUGUAUUAGGGUAAACUCAGGUACGUGUACCUGACUGAAAGUGUAAUACGAAUAAGGAUCGGCUAACUCCGUGCCAGCAGCCGCGGUAAUACGGAGGAUCCAAGCGUUAUCCGGAUUUAUUGGGUUUAAAGGGUGCGUAGGCGGUUUGAUAAGUUAGAGGUGAAAUACCGGGGCUUAACUCCGGAACUGCCUCUAAUACUGUUGAACUAGAGAGUAGUUGCGGUAGGCGGAAUGUAUGGUGUAGCGGUGAAAUGCUUAGAGAUCAUACAGAACACCGAUUGCGAAGGCAGCUUACCAAACUAUAUCUGACGUUGAGGCACGAAAGCGUGGGGAGCAAACAGGAUUAGGUACCCUGGUAGUCCACGCAGUAAACGAUGAUAACUCGUUGUCGGCGAUACACAGUCG